CGACAGAUAGGCGCCGACGGGGCCCUCUCGAGCCAGAGGAAACCGGUGCGAAUCCGGUGCGGUCCCGCCACUGUGAUCGGCGGUGGGCACGUCCCACCCCGAGAGCCAGAUACUCACCGCCGGCGCUUCCUCAAC
rnacentral:ncRNA from 1 species